AGCAGCAGUCAGAGGGUGGAGAAGCAUUUUGACAUGGCAGACAGGCUCAGCUGAUGAUCUGCGUCAGGGCGUUUGGAGUCAACGUCCCAUCGCCUGUGCAGCUCCCAGCUUCGUUUCACUAUGGGCUGAGGUAGUAGGUUGUAUAGUUUUAGGGUCACACCCGCACUGGGAGAUAACUAUUCAACCUACUGUCUUUCUCAGAGUGACAAACCCACAUCUCAGUCUUCACUGCAUGGAAUCUGACUCCUGGUUCUCGGACAGCAGAACUUGCUGUGGUUCAGCUCAGCCCUGUUUGUUCCAGCUGCUCACACAGUGUGAGGUAGUAGAUUGUAUAGUUGUAGGGUAGUGAUUUUGCCCUGUUUGGAAGAUAACUAUACAAUUUAUUGCCUUCCCUGAGGAGUGGCAUCUCUCCUGGUCUAUAAAAUGUGUAUCCUGGUUAUCUUAUCAACUAUUUUAAUUUCUGAUUUCUAUCACACAUACUUGCAGCGACAUUUGUACUGUACAGUAUAUCCAUAAACUAGAUUUAUGUUUAAAUUUGUCAGUUACAUUUUUUACAUUUACGGUUAUAGGUAGUGUUAAAUAUAUGGGAUGAGCAGUCAUAUGAAUGCAUUUCUCACAACAUUUUUUCCUCAAACAUUCAAUUAAACUCAAUUAAAUUUUAUUUGUACAUCAAAAAUCCAAUCAUAAUAUACAUUAUCUCAAGGCACUUUACAUAGUAAGAUCUAGAUCUUACUGAAUUAUAGAGAAACCCAACCUUUCCCACAACGAGCAAACACUUUGAGAAUGUUCAAAGAAAAAAAGUCAUUAACAGAAAGGGACCUGUAGCAGAACCAGACUGGAUGUGGUCGGCCAUCUGCCUCGACCGGUUGGGGUGAACAUGAACUUAAACCUUUUGUAUUGUCUGCAGCUUUCUAAUAAAACACUACACAUUAUGAAAAA